CCUACGGGAGGCAGCAGUGAGGAAUAUUGGUCAAUGGGGGCAAGCCUGAAGCAGCCAAGCCGCGUGAAGGAAGACUGCUCUCCGGGUUGUAAACUUCUUUUAUAGAGGAGUAAAGUGAGGCACGUGUGCCUUUAUGUAUGUACUUUAUGAAUAAGGAUCGGCUAACUCCGUGCCAGCAGCCGCGGUAAUACGGAGGGUCCGAGCGUUAUCCGGAUUUAUUGGGUGUAAAGGGAGCGUAGGUGGAUUGUUAAGUCAGUUGUGAAAGUUUGCGGCUCAACCGUAAAAUUGCAGUUGAAACUGGCAGUCUGGAGUACUGGAGAGGCAAGCGGAAUUCGUGGUGUAGCGGUGAAAUGCGUAGAUAUUACGAAGAACUCCGGUGGCGAAGGCAGUUCACUGGACAGCAACUGACACUGAGGCUCGAAAGUGUGGGUAGCAAACAGGAUUAGAUACCUGGGUAGUC
rnacentral:rRNA from 1 species